AGAGAAUUUAGCAGAGAUGCUUUAGUGCCUUCGGGAACUCUGAGACAGGUGCUGCAUGGCUGUCGUCAGCUCGUGUUGUGAAAUGUUGGGUUAAGUCCCGCAAGAGCGCAACCCUUAUCCUUUGUUGCCAGCACGUAAUGAUGGGAACUCAAAGGAGACUGCCGGUGAUAAACCGGAGGAAGGUGGGGAUGACGUCAAGUCAUCAUGGCCCUUACGAGUAGGGCUACACACGUGCUACAAUGGCGCAUACAAAGAGAAGCGACCUCGCGAGAGCAAGCGGACCUCAUAAAGUGCGUCGUAGUCCGGAUUGGAGUCUGCAACUCGACUCCAUGAAGUCGGAAUCGCUAGUAAUCGUAAAUCAGAAUGUUACGGUGAAUACGUUCCCGGGCCUUGUACACACCGCCCGUCACACCAUGGGAGUGGGUUGCAAAAGAAGUAGAUAGCUUAACCUUCGGGAGGGCGUUUACCACUUUGUGAUUCAUGACUGGGGUGAAGUCGUAACAAGGUAGGCGUAGUGCU
rnacentral:rRNA from 1 species